UUAAGAUACUAAGAGCAUACGGUGGAUGCCUUGGCGAUAUCUGCCGACGAAGGACGUGACAAGCUGCGAAAAGCUGCGGAGAGAUGCAAAUAAUCGGCGACCCGCAGACAUCCGAAUGGAGAAAUCCGGCUGUGAUGAUGCACAGCCAUCCAUGCCCAAGAGCAUGAGAAGGGAACCGGGCGAACUGAAACAUCUAAGUAGCCCGAGGAAAAGAAAUCAAACGAGAUACCCCAAGUAGCGGCGAGCGAACAGGGAAGAAGCCCAAACCGGUGAAGGAAACUUUACCGGGGUUGAGGACCAUCAGAACCGCGAAGAACCUUAGCCGAAACUGUUGGGAAACAGUGCCGAAGACAGUGAAAGCCUGGUAGGCGAAAAAGAGAAACGCGGGGAUGGCACCAGAGUACCGCGGGACACGAGAAAUCCCGUGGGAAGCAGGGGGGACCACCCUCCAAGGCAAAACACAGAUAUCGACCGAUAGCGCAUAGUACCAUGAGGGAAAGGUGAAAAGCACCCCGGGAGGGGAAUGAAAGAGAACCUGAAACCGUAUGUUUACAAGCAGUCGGAGACCGCUUAAUAAUAAGGUCGACGGCGUGCCUAUUGAAGAAUGAACCGGCGAGUUACGAAGCCUGGCAAGGUUAAGCAGGAAAUGCGGAGCCGAAGCGAAAGCGAGUCUUAAGAGGGCGCAAGUCAGGAAGCGUAGACCCGAAACCACAGUGAUCUACCCAUGUCCAGGUUGAAACACAGGUAAAAAUGUGUGGAGGACCGAACCUAUAUCCGUUGAAAAGGGUUAGGAUGAGGUGUGGGUAGGGGUGAAAUUCCAAUCGAACGUGGAGAUAGCUGGUUCUCCCCGAAAUAGCUUUAGGGCUAGCCUCAGGGAAAAGAUUGCAGGCGGUAGAGCACUGAUCAGGAGAGGGACCUACCCGGUUACCAAACCCAGUCAAACUCCGAAUGGCUGCAAUCAUACCUGGGAGUCAGACUGCGACUAAUAAGGGCCGUAGUCAAAAGGGAAACAGCCCAGACCAUCAGCUAAGGUCCCCAAUGCCGUGCUAAGUGGCGAAGGAUGUGGCAUUUCAUAAACAACCAGGAUGUUGGCUCAGAAGCAGCCACCAUUUAAAGAGUGCGUAAUAGCUCACUGGUCGAGAGACGCUGCGCCGAAAAUGUCCGGGGCUCAAGCACGGAACCGAAGCUAUGGCAUGAUAGCAAUAUCAUGGGUAGGGGAGCGUUCUUAUAAGGAAGAAGCAUGACCGGAAGGACAUGUGGACGAAUAAGAAGUGAGAAUGCCGGUAUGAGUAUCGAAAAGAAAGGUGAGAAUCCUUUCCACCGAAAGCCCGAGGGUUCCUGAGCAACGAUCGUCGACUCAGGGUAAGUCGGGACCUAAGCCGAGGCGAGAAGCGUAGGCGAUGGACAACAGGUUGAAAUUCCUGUACCGGAUCAAGUCGAUCGAGCGAAGGAGCGACGCAGGAGGGCACAUGAUCGCGCGGCUGGAAGAGCGCGUCCAAGUGCGUAUGUUGCAGCAGAGGAAAACCCCUGCAGCUAAAAGCAGAGACAUGAUGGGGAGUUAAAGGAAACUUUGACGAACUCAUGAAUCCCACACUGCCAAGAAAAACUUCUAGCGAGACAAGAUCCGCCCGUACCGUAAACCGACACAGGUAGGCGGGGAGAGAAUCCUAAGGUGCGCGGGAAAACCCUCGUUAAGGAACUCGGCAAAUUGCAUCCGUAACCUAGGGAGAAGGAUGGCCCCCGGUCAGUGAAGAGCAGAAACGCUCAGAGCUAAAAGGGGCGGCAGAAAAGAGGCCCAAGCAACUGUUUACCAAAAACACAGGUGCCUGCGAAAGCGAAAGCUGAAGUAUAGGUGCUGACGCCUGCCCGGUGCCGGAAGGUUAAGGAGAGAAGUUAGCGAAAGCGAAGCAUCGAACUGAAGCCCCGGUGAACGGCGGCCGUAACUAUAACGGUCCUAAGGUAGCGAAAUUCCUUGUCGGGUAA
rnacentral:rRNA from 1 species